rnacentral:lncRNA from 1 species
GUUGGAGGAGUAGAUGAGGUGCUACAUGCAGGGCCCUGAGAACUGUCCUGUCGCUCAGGAAGCAAGUUUUGCAGGGUGUGGACAAUCGGGCAAGUGACUGCAUGUGACAACAGAGAGAGGGCAUGGUACACGGUGGCAGAUGAGCCCGGGACUGGAGGCAGAUCUGGGUUCCAGUUCGGGCUCUACCAGCAGCACCCAUGUGUCCUUCUGUUCUCUGGGCCUCAAUUUCCUGUUGUAAAAUUCAGAACUUGGAAGAGGUAAGUGGUUAGGUCAUUCCUGAGACAUCCCAGAUAAUCACAGCCAUCCAAACGUUGGCUCGGGAGCCCUGAGUAACCAAGACUGCAGGAAGCAACAGUUUAGUAAGGGUUCAGAAUCCUGUGAUUAGGGCUCGAGAAUGAAAUACUCUUCUAAGAGCUUCUCCCAGACCAAAAGGAGCUAAUUAGGAAAGAAUGGUGGCAUUCUCUGGGCAAACUGGAGGAGCCCCUGGGCUUGGCCUCCUUAUGCCUUCCUCCUUGACCCUCCUCUAGCCCCCUUGGACACAACACAACGUCCCCCCUCUGCUUUUUCCCCAGAUACUAUGGUAAACCUGCUCUCAGAUCUUUCUCCACACCUAGAAAAAUUCAUUCAUCGACUAUACACUUUAAUGAAUAUGCACUUACUAUGUACCAGAUAUUCUUUGGCUGCUAGGGCAGAGCAGCAGGGACAUAGCCCCUGUCCCCGUGGGGUCAACAUGCUGGUGGAGGGAGUCAGAGGUAAUAAAAUAAGCAAGUAAGACACACAGUAGAGCAGGCAGAGUUGGCGGAGAACUGGAUCUAACUGGGUUGGGGUUUUGCCAAGCAAGUACAGUCCAACUUGGAGUGUGGAGGGAAGGGUAUAGAAAAGGUAGGGACUAGAAUAACUAACCCUGGAAUUUAGGCUGGGAAAGGAGGGAGUAGGGAUUUGAAAGCGGGUGAGGUCAGUAGUCUGUGGGGCCCUGAGGGGCGAUGGCUCCAAGGCACGAGCCGGAAAGAGGUUUGACAGUGGCUUCUCUGGAGGGCUCAAGCUUGACCAGGAAACUGAGUGCCGAGCCCUGGAAGAUCACUGGGGAGAGGAGGUCAAAGAACUGGGAGGCCAGGGCACCAUCGGCGGGCUGGUAAGUGGAUGGUGAAACCACCAGGCAGGGGGCAGGAGGAGCUGGAGAGAGGACGCGAGAUGGGAGCUAAAAUCCUAAAAUCCGCAGGGAGUGCGGAAAGCAGUGACAGCAGUGAGCGCGGGGAGGCUGGUCCUGAGUCUGGGAUGGGGCGAUGGCGUUCAAGAAGACAUAUUUAAGAGUACUAUGUAAUUUUACGUGUGGGAAGAACCUUUUGUUUUUGUAAUUAGAACUACAGAAAGGGACAGAGCUGUUUAUGUCAUGAAAAGCAGGCCUGAGCAUUAGAAGACUGAGAAACACCUGGGAGGAUCUUGUUUCAACAGAGCUCAAAGCCGUGGCAAAAGGACGGAGCUCGAAUUGUGCAAUUGUGAGUGACUCGAAGCUGGGUGGGAAAGCGUCUAGUUUCUUAUGCAUAAAGGACCUUCCUGUUGUCUCUGAAAUCAUACCAAGUAGAUGCCACCAUUUCAGCAGAGGCUAAGAGUUCAAGAUCGGCCUGGGCAACAUGGCCAGGCAACAUGUAAAAAUACAAAAUUUAGCUGGGUGUGGUGGUGGGCGCACCUGUAAUCCCAACUACUUGGGAGGCUGAGAUGGGAGAAUCAUUUGAACCUGGGAGGUGGAGGGUGCAGUGAACUGUGAUUGUACCACUGCACUCCAGCCUGGGUGACAGAGUAAGACCUCGUCAAAAAAAAAAAUCCAAAAAUGUGGGAUCUGUUUAAACCCUGGCUCUGCUCCCUGCUACUCAUUACCCUCAUCUGUGCAGCAGGGGUGAUACCAGCCCUCACCCCUCUGUUUCUGAGAAGUAGAUGAGCGUGUAUGUGCACAGAGACCUGCCUGCAGUGUUGUGAGGACUCACAAAAUGUUGGCUAGAUAUCCUAAUCUUUCUCAUGUUUGUUGGCAAACAAAAACAGGCUGAGAUGGCCCUGUGCCAUUCGUAUAUCUGUGUGUGGAAUAACAGACAGUAUAAAGCUGAAAAGCAGGUCCCUCCCUGGCUAAUUGCAUUUCAGCAGCCGCUGGGAGGCAGUGUGGCGGGGGGCGGGGAGUGAAACUGUGCGGGGAGUCAGGGAGCCUGGGUUUCCUCCUCAGCCAAUGAGGCCAAGGCCAAAUCAGGAUGUCCCUGAGCCCCUGUUUGCCUACCUGUAACGUGGGGAUGACGGUUCCUGCCAGGUACCCACAAGGCUGUUGUGAGGACUGAAUGAGGAAAUGCUCCUUGAAGAUAAAUGACAAUGCCACAGAAGAGCGGAUGCAGCUCCCCUGUGCUGAGUACUCACCUACUGUGUGCUGGGCACAGGGGCAGAGCCACCCACCCCUCCCUGCAGCAGUGCCUGGAAGGCAGGACCAGCAUCCUGAUAGCCAGAGUUGAGACAGAGUUUAAGGGCCUGCCAGGCAUAACUCCCUCGCCAGGCAUAGAAAUAAAGGAACAUCUUGAGUUCUUUCAAGGGAAGUUCCAGGCACCUAGCUAGCCCUGAGAGUAAAUGAACAACAUGAUAAGCAAGAAGGAAAUAAUAGCUUUUCAAAAAAAAUAGCCAAGGAAGUUAGAGUCACAAAAUACUUGGUUCCCUAUUGAAACUUAAGAUAACAUCUUAAUAUAUGUUCCUGAGUUGUUUUUCAGAAACCCAGGCCCCCAGCAAAUGGAAAAUGCCAUCCACUGGCACAGAGACUUCAGUUGGGAGCCGAGGACUGAACUCAGACCACCAUUCUUUGUUCAACAUUUCUUCCUGAGGGGCCUGGAGGAAGUCACACCCACAGGCCAGAGCUCAACAUUCCUUUCUGCUGACCCCAGGCACCAGUCCAUGGCACUCCCUAUGCCUGCAGGAUACCACAUCAAAGCAGAGUUGGGGGAGCAUUUCAGGAGGUUCCUGUGAAAAACCUACAUGCACACACCCCCACGUGCAGCUGCAGACUGCUAUCUAUACACGAAGUUAUGCAUCGCAGAGUCGACUGCAAAAGGCUGGAGCCCACACAGCGUCUAUCAAUAGGGAACGGGUUAAAUCGACCACAAGAUUUCCAUAUGACGAUGGAACACUUUCCAGCCAAGAAAGGAGGAGGAAGUCCUCACUGCUCUGAUACGGAACAGUCACCAAGACAUAUUUUAAGUAAAAAAAAGGCAGCAUGCAUAACCAGGGAAAUGAAAACUAAAACCACAGUGAGUUACAAUUUCACACAGAUCCAUCUACAAAAAAAAAAAAGCUGAUAAUUGCAGGUGUUGGUGAAGAAGUGGAGUGAGGGGAAUGCUCAAACUACUAGUGGGUGUGCGAAUGGUUAUAACCACUUUUUAAAAUUUUGGCAUUAUCUACUGAAGUUGACAAUGUACUUUCCCAAUGGCCUUGCAAAUGCCCUGGAGAAGUUCUUACCCAACCCCCGCCAUUCCCCCCAACACACACCAAAAGAAACAAUUAAGAACAUUUGCACCAGCUCUGUUCCUAGAACCCCAAAACUGAGGCCAGCACUGAGGCCAAGCACAGUGGCUCAUGCCUGUAAUCCCAGCAGGCAUGAGCCACCCUUUGGGAGCCUGAGGCCGGAGGAUUAUUGAGGUUGAGAGUUCAAGACCAGCCUGGGCAACAUAGUGAGACCUUGUCUCUAUAAAAGAAGUUUUAAAAAUUAGCCAGGUGUGAUGGCUCAUGCUUGUAGUCCCAGCUAAUUGGGAGGCUGAGGUAGGAGGAUCGUUUCUUGAGCCCUGGAGGUUGAGGCUGCAGUGAGCCAUGAUUGCACCACUGCACUCCAGCCUGGGCAACAGAAUGAGACCCUGUCUCAAAAAAUAAAAUUAAAUUAGAAAACAAUAAUAAUUAUUAUUAAUAAAUAAAAUAGUCCAAUGAAAAUAAUCAUACUAUCUCCAUGCAAUGGAAUUCUAUACAAGAGUGAAAAUGAACUAACUCCGGACAUGCGUAUCAGUACACUGAACUUCAGAACUAUAAUUAUGGGUGGGACAAAAGCCAGCCAUAGAAAACUAUUCUAUUCAUAAUCCCAAAAAGGUAGUAUACCAUAUUCAAUUAUUAUAUAUAUUUAUGUCUUGUUAUAUAUAAUGUUUAUUACAUUUAUCUUAGUAUAAAAAUAUAGUAUAUUUAUCAUAAUCUAUUAUAAACAAGUAGUAGGAUUAUAAAAAGACAAAAAGGGCAGGAUAAGCGUAAAAUUCAUGAUAGUAUUUAGGGGAAGAGGAGGGUGGGGCUGGAGAGAGGCACAUGGUUUCAAAAGCCCAGCUUCUUUGUCUAAAACAGGGCGUGGGUACCCAUACUGGUCUAUUGUAUUGUGGGUGUCUUUAAAAUGUAUAUAUAUUCUAUAACUACUAUUUUUGUAUCUACUCAAUAUUUAAUUUUAAAAUUUUAAAUGAGGCCUAGAACACUAUAAAAAGUAUGCUACCAUUUGUAUAGAAAAAGUGGACACACACAUCACUCAUGUGCAUAGAUUAAAGUGUCUCUGGAAACUUACACAUGCAACUGGUGAAACUGGUUUCCUCUGGGGAGGAGAACUGGGAGGCUGGGGACAAGGAGGGGCAAUAAAUCAAUUGAAAUUAAAAAUCACAAAAUUUAAGGAGAAGGAGACAAAGAAGGGAAGGAGGAAGAGAAGGGAGGGUGGAGGGGAGAGGCCAAGUCCUGGUCCCAGGAGGGACAGGGAGCAGAAAGAGGAGGACUGGCCAGGCUCUGGCUAUCAAAACCUGUGUGUGCCACAGGCACGAGUGGAGCCAGAAGCCUGCAGUCCUGCCCAGGAAAGCCUGUGUCCUCCGCGCACAACUCAGGCUUAGACCCAGAGAAUGCUCUUUCUUGCACCUGAGGACGGGGCUGGCUUCAAACAGUUGCCCAGGUUGACCCUGGCUCUGCAGUCUUUUGUUUCCAGAGCUUUGCUUCCAAACGAGGCUCCCUUGGGUCUCUUUCCCUGGCCCUGCCUUCUUAUCUCCAACCUUCACCCCACCUGUGAUCCAAGCGAUUCCUUUGAAGUUGCUUCAGAGUCUUCUGAGCCUUCAUCCUUGAUGACUCUGAAAUGUGCGUCUGUGGCACCAAGGUCAGCCAACAGCAAGUAGGCCCUUUUCAUCUCCUUUUAAACCUUCCCCUCAAGGACUCAGUGUCCUUGCUGUAUUGCCUUAUCAAAACCUGCUCACAUAUCCUUUGUUCACACUGGGAUACCGGUCAUUUAAAGGAAAACAGGCCCACUCUAACCAGGGUCACUGCCAAGUCCCUAAGUAUCAUGCCCUUGAGAGGUAAAAGCAUAAAGCACUAAGGGUAGAAUUUUGGGCAACAGCCAGUGGACAAGGACAAAAUGGGUGCAAUAUGCAGGGGUCCCUUCUGCCCCACCGGUAACCAUAACACCUCAGGACACAGGCUGGGGUCUGUAUUCAAAAGUGGGUCCCUCAGACCGGGCACAGUGGCUCACGCCUAUAAUCCCAGCACUUUGGGAAGCCAAGGCCAGCGGAUCCCUUGAGCCCAGGAGUUUGUGACCAGCCUGAGCAACAUGGCGAAACCCCAUCUCUACAAAAAAUACCAAAAUUAGUCUAGUCGGGCAUGGUGGUGCACACACCUAUGGUCCCAGCUAUUUGGGAGGCUGAGGGGGGAGAAUCGCUUGAGCCCCAGGAGGCAGAGAUUGCAGUGAGCUGUGAUCGAGCCACUGCACUCCAGCCUGGGCAACAGAGUGAGACCCUAUCUCAAGAAAACAAAAACAGAAAGUAAAAAAGCAAUCCUCGAGCAAAAGUGGGUCCCUCAGAGCCCAAUGACAGUGAUGAGGAGGAUGAGGUGGGAAAGGUAGUGUUACUCUGAACUAAAAAGGACUGCCCAGUGUGACCCUAUCUCCCAAACAGCCCAUGCAGGGAUCUGGGUGGCACCAUAGUACAGAAGUGGGUGCCAAGAGAGGCCUGGGCUGCACAGCCAGGUGCAUACAUGCCCUGGAGUCCAGGACAGGAUCAGCAGCAAAUCCACUCCAGGGAGCUCUCCCCCCUCACCAUCCUCUCAAUCAGGGUUCCCCAGUUGAAAAGCACCUUGGCAGUUCAUAAUUCUCCCUCUAAAGCCAGAAAGUGCUGUAAAGGAUAACAGAAGCCUGGCUGCACAGUGGAGCUUAAUGGAAGUCAUUCAACAAGCAGGUCUGGAGCAAACAUCAUGGACCAGCAGUACUGUGUGUUGGCACAGAUGUGAAGCAACUAUACUCUGAUACGGCUUGGAUAUGUGUCCCCACCCAAAUCUCAUAUUGAAUUUUAAUUCCCAGUGUUAGAGGAGGGGCCGGGUGGGAGGUGACUGGAUCAUGGGGGCAGAUUUCCCCCUUACUGUUCUCACGAUAGUGAGUUCUCAGAUCUGGUUAUUUUAAAGUGUGUAGCACCUCCCACUUUGCUCCCUUCCUCCUGCUUUGGCCAUGUAAGAUGUGCCUGCUUCGCCUUCCCCUUCCGCCAUGAUUCUAUGUUUCCUGAGGCCUCCCCAGCCAUGCUUCCUAUACAGUCUGCAGAACCGUGAG